GACAGAGGGGGCAAGCGUUGCUCGGAAUCACUGGGCGUAAAGGGUGCGUAGGCGGCGCGGUAAGUCGGGUGUGAAAUCUCGGAGCUUAACUCCGAAACUGCAUUCGAUACUGCCGUGCUUGAGGACUGGAGAGGAGACUGGAAUUUACGGUGUAGCGGUGAAAUGCGUAGAUAUCGUAAGGAAGACCAGUGGCGAAGGCGGGUCUCUGGACAGUUCCUGACGCUGAGGCACGAAGGUCAGGGGAGCAAACGGG
rnacentral:rRNA from 1 species